ensembl:rRNA 5S_rRNA 5S ribosomal RNA
GUUUACGGCCAUACCAACCUGAAAACUCCCGAUCUCGUCUGAUCUCGGAAGCUAAGCAGGGUCGGGCCUGGUUAGUACUUGGAUGGGAGACCGCCUGGGAAUACCAGGUGCUGUAAGCU